CAGGUACUCGAGUGGCGAACGGGUGAGUAACACGUGGGUGAUCUGCCCUGCACUUCGGGAUAAGCCUGGGAAACUGGGUCUAAUACCGGAUAGGAGCCAUUUUUAGUGUGAUGGUUGGAAAGUUUCUUCGGUGUAGGAUGAGCUCGCGGCCUAUCAGCUUGUUGGUGGGGUAAUGGCCUACCAAGGCGGCGACGGGUAGCCGGCCUGAGAGGGUGGACGGCCACAUUGGGACUGAGAUACGGCCCAGACUCCUACGGGAGGCAGCAGUGGGGAAUAUUGCACAAUGGGCGCAAGCCUGAUGCAGCGACGCCGCGUGGGGGAUGACGGCCUUCGGGUUGUAAACUCCUUUCGCUAGGGACGAAGCUUUUUGUGACGGUACCUAGAUAAGAAGCACCGGCUAACUACGUGCCAGCAGCCGCGGUAAUACGUAGGGUGCGAGCGUUGUCCGGAAUUACUGGGCGUAAAGGGCUCGUAGGUGGUUUGUCGCGUCGUCUGUGAAAUUCCGGGGCUUAACUCCGGGCGUGCAGGCGAUACGGGCAUAACUUGAGUACUGUAGGGGUAACUGGAAUUCCUGGUGUAGCGGUGAAAUGCGCAGAUAUCAGGAGGAACACCGAUGGCGAAGGCAGGUUACUGGGCAGUUACUGACGCUGAGGAGCGAAAGCAUGGGUAGCGAACAGGAUUA
rnacentral:rRNA from 1 species